rnacentral:rRNA from 1 species
UACAGAGGUCCCAAGCGUUGUUCGGAUUCACUGGGCGUAAAGGGUGCGUAGGUGGUUAGGUAAGUCCGAUGUGAAAUCUCCAGGCUCAACCUGGAAAUGGCAUUGGAUACUAUUUAGCUUGAGGAGUGGAGGGGGGACUGGAAUUCUCGGUGUAGCAGUGAAAUGCGUAGAUAUCGAGAGGAACACCAGUGGCGAAGGCGGCCUUCUGGACGGUGACUGACGCUGAGGCGCGAAAGCGUGGGGAGCAAACAGG